GGCUCUUUGUAAUAAAUAUAUAAAGAGUCGAGCCUGCCCAGUGAUAACUUAAACGGCCGCGGUACUCUGACCGUGCAAAGGUAGCAUAAUCAUUUGCCCUAUAAUUGAGGGCUUGUAUGAAUGGUUUGACAAAAGCAUAACUGUCUCCUUAAAAUUUUAUAAAAUUUGGUUUUUAGGUGAAGAAACCUAAAUAUAAUUGAAAGACAAGAAGACCCUAUCGAGCUUUAGAAUAGUUAAUUAAAAAAUAUGAUUAAAACAAUUAAUUUUAAUUAAAAACUUUGGUUGGGGCGACUGAGGAACAUAUAAAGCUUCCUUAAUUAAAAUAUACUUAUAAGCUAUGAUCCAAAAACUUUGAUUAAAAAAAUUAGUUACCGUAGGGAUAACAGCAUAAUCUUUUUUGAGAGCUCUUAUCGAAAAAAAGGUUUGUGACCUCGAUGUUGGACUAGGGUAUCCUAAAGAUGUAGAAGUCUUUAAAAGUUGGUCUGUUCGACCAUUAAAACCCU
rnacentral:rRNA from 1 species